GUGGAAAAGAGCUGUAAAAGCUAUUAACCUCAAGAGUGGAGCGUGAAAUGGUGGAAAUAUAACCACCUAUCCUAAAUGGGAAUAAGUCAGAGUAUUCCAAAGUGGAGUGAGCCUCCACUAGGACAAGCUCAAGUCUAUUCAGCGUAAGUGCCGUCUGGUGGCACUCUCCCCUUUUUGUCAAAUGUUACCUCAAGGGACGAGACAAAUACAAC